UUGCCAGCCUCAAGCCAGCAACAGACAAAGAAUUCUGCUGCUGUCCAACUGAAUUAGCUCUCGAUUCACUAUACCCCUAUACGUUUUAACCAAAAAUCAUCAAAACUUCAAUCUACAAAUUUUACAUCUAAAAGUCUUCAAUGGAUUAUAUUUUAUCUGCAUUUUACAACAUUCCAGGGGUAGACUAUUCCAUCCUGGGUAAUCCUACGCUGUGCGCCCAAGAUGCCAGGAGAAAAGACAACAGAGCAUAUCUACCACAGAAGAAGGAGGUAAAGAAUGCAUCGCUCCCCUAUUUCAGACUGUGGAAGAGGUUCUGCAGCCUAUCCCGACUCGGAUCACUGGGACAGUCCCUGAAUGGAUAAAGGGCAGCCUGCUCCGCAACGGUCCUGGCAAAUUUGAGUUUGGAAAUGACAAGUGAGAUCAGAUUAAAUUCUAUGUAAUUCCCUUACAGUCUGACAUGAGUAUUUCUAUCAACCAAUAAAUUACCUGUUUAAGGGAAUGUA